UGGGGAAUAUUGGACAAUGGGCGCAAGCCUGAUCCAGCCAUGCCGCGUGAGUGAUGAAGGCCCUAGGGUUGUAAAGCUCUUUCACCGGUGAAGAUAAUGACGGUAACCGGAGAAGAAGCCCCGGCUAACUUCGUGCCAGCAGCCGCGGUAAUACGAAGGGGGCUAGCGUUGUUCGGAUUUACUGGGCGUAAAGCGCACGUAGGCGGACUUUUAAGUCAGGGGUGAAAUCCCGGGGCUCAACCCCGGAACUGCCUUUGAUACUGGAAGUCUUGAGUAUGGUAGAGGUGAGUGGAAUUCCGAGUGUAGGGGUGAAAUGCGUAGAGAUUAGGAGGAACACCGGUGGCGAAAGCGGCUUUUUGGCCUGCAACUGACACUGAGGCGCGAAAGCGUGGGGAGCAAACAGG
rnacentral:rRNA from 1 species